GAUGAACGCUGGCGGCGUGCCUAAUACAUGCAAGUCGAGCGAACGGACGAGAAGCUUGCUUCUCUGAUGUUAGCGGCGGACGGGUGAGUAACACGUGGAUAACCUACCUAUAAUACUGGGAUAACUUCGGGAAACCGGAGCUAAUACCGGAUAAUAUUUUGAACCGCAUGGUUCAAAAGUGGAAGACGGUCUUGCUGUCACUUAUAGAUGGAUCCGCGCUGCAUUAGCUAGUUGGUAAGGUAACGGCUUACCAAGGCAACGAUGCGUAGCCGACCUGAGAGGGUGAUAGGCCACACUGGAACUGAGACACGGUCCAGACUCCUACGGGAGGCAGCAGUAGGGAAUCUUACGCAAUGGGCGAAAGCAUGACGGAGCAACGCGGCGUGAGUGAUGAAGGUCUUCGGAUCGUAAAACUCUGUUAUUAGGGAAGAACAUAUGUGUAAGUAACUGUGCACAUCUUGACGGUACCUAAUCAGAAAGCCACGGCUAACUACGUG
rnacentral:rRNA from 1 species